GACGAACGCUGGCGGCGUGCCUAAUACAUGCAAGUAGAACGCUGAAGAGAGGAGCUUGCUCUUCUUGGAUGAGUUGCGAACGGGUGAGUAACGCGUAGGUAACCUGCCUUGUAGCGGGGGAUAACUAUUGGAAACGAUAGCUAAUACCGCAUAACAAUGGAUGACACAUGUCAUUUAUUUGAAAGGGGCAAUUGCUCCACUACAAGAUGGACCUGCGUUGUAUUAGCUAGUAGGUGAGGUAAUGGCUCACCUAGGCGACGAUACAUAGCCCACCUGAGCGGGUGACGGGCCACCAGGAGGCUGAGACACGGCCCAGCCUCCCACGGGAGGCAGGAGUGGGGAAUUUUCGGAAAGGGGGGCAACCCUGCCCGGCCACCGCCGGGUGGGUGAAGAAGGUUUUCGGUUCUAAAAGCCUUUUUUUAAGGAAAAAACGGGGUGGAAGGGGGAAAGUCCAAACUGUGAGGGUAGCUUCCCAAAAAGGGAGCGCAAACUACG
rnacentral:rRNA from 1 species